rnacentral:tRNA from 1 species
AGCCCCGUCGUAUAGCGGUCAAGUAUACGGGCCUUUGGAGCCUGGGACACCGGUUCGAAUCCGGUCGGGGCUA